CCUACGGGCGGCAGCAGUGAGGAAUAUUGGUCAAUGGACGAGAGUCUGAACCAGCCAAGUAGCGUGAAGGAUGACUGCCCUAUGGGUUGUAAACUUCUUGUAUAUGGGAAUAAAAUGUUCCAAGUGUGGGAUUUUGUAUGUACCAUAUGAAUAAGGAUCGGCUAACUCCGUGCCAGCAGCCGCGGUAAUACGGAGGAUCCGAGCGUUAUCCGGAUUUAUUGGGUUUAAAGGGAGCGUAGGUGGAUUGUUAAGUCAGUUGUGAAAGUUUGCGGCUCAACCGUAAAAUUGCAGUUGAAACUGGCAGUCGUGAGUACAGUAGAGGUGGGCGGAAUUCGUGGUGUAGCGGUGAAAUGCUUAGAUAUCACGAAGAACUCCGAUUGCGAAGGCAGCUCACUGGACUGCAACUGACACUGAGGCUCGAAAGUGUGGGUAUCAAACAGGAUUAGAUACCCCUGUAGUC
rnacentral:rRNA from 1 species